ACCUGUGUAUAAAGUAAAACAGCAAAUUAGUGCUAUUUAAAUUUACUCUUUUAAAAAAGUUUUGCAUUGAAGUUACAAGGCGAAUGGAAGCUUGUGAGCACCAAUAAUGUGGUUAUUAUGCUAACCACAUGAAUUAAUUACCACACCCCAGCAAUAUUAUUUUAAAAUGAUUACAUUUUGAAAUACAAUUUUUAAGAACAGAAACAUGGAAGUGAAGUCAAGUCAAACGAUUCUGGAUUCAAAAUGGCUGCAGCAGAGUUUACAUGGACAUUUGCUCAUUAUAGAUGAGUAAAAGGUAUGAUGGUGGCAAAUUCUGUGCCAAAAAUCUGAGUGCAAAUCAUUUUUCUUUUUGCCAGCAGUGGGAAAAAAACUCAAAUGUCCUCAACCUCAGACCUCAAAACUCAAAUAUCAUUGCCUAAUUCAUUUUUCCGGAAAUCAGUGCUGACUGGCUGCGUGCCACUGUGACGCACCAUUGGCGGAGUUACCUGUUCUUCAUCAGAGGCAUGACUUCAUCAACACACACUCUUCAUGUCCUGAACUGAUAAAAGGCAGAGGGCAGAUGUGAAUUUGCUGCCCUAAACUUGGACUCAAACAGCACCACUGGAGCAUACAGACUAGCAGAAACACAGUUAAGGCCACACUGUAAACGAUCUCCUACAGAGCCGUUCAUCAGCUGAUUGGGCGUCCACUUCAGCGCCAUGGUGUCGGCGGUCUGGUGCAGAGACAGGUAUCCUGGGAUCGCCUCCAUGUCGUCUCUCUACAUGAACAACAACAAGCU